rnacentral:rRNA from 1 species
GCAACUCGACUACAUGAAGCUGGAAUCGCUAGUAAUCGCGAAUCAGAAUGUCGCGGUGAAUACGUUCCCGGGUCUUGUACACACCGCCCGUCACACCAUGGGAGUCAGUAACGCCCGAAGCCGGUGACCCAACCGAUAAGGAGGGAGCCGUCGAAGGUGGGACCGAUAACUGGGGUGAAGUCGUAACAAGGUAUC